rnacentral:lncRNA from 1 species
UUGAUCUGGCAGAAACUGAAUAUGAAUGAGAGAAUAAUGAGAGAAUAGUGGCCUAAUUGAGUGUUCCUUGUUUACAAGUUAACUUGGAGAUACCAUGAAAUAUAUAUCUUUUAUACAACUUUUUUUUUUUACUUUUUUUUUUUUUUUUCAUAUAACCAGUAUUCCAAAAGGAGAAGUGUGUCUUUGAAAUGCUAUAUGGAAAGCAAAGUUCCUGUGAAGCUCUCUGGCUUCAGAAGAAGUUCCAACAUUGGACUGAAAGUGGCAAUUCAAGACAGAAUUGGACCAUUUGAUAGACCAGUAGAUUUUUUUUUGUAGUUGGGCAAAGCAAACACAUACUUCAGCACCUCUGCGUGUUUGAGUGCUUCAGGACAUGAGAGCAUUACACCUACAUACUCCCCAUGUGACAUUCCCAGAAUGGUAUCUGGCGUUAAAUUCUGUUAUCUUUUGUGUGUAAUUAUGUGACUUUGAAUUCCCUUUUUAAGAAAUACUCAUCAUGAAUACAAAAUGCUCAUUUUCAAAUAUCAUCACAAAAAAAUCCAUUAUUUUCACUAUGUUUUCUGUCUUUCAGCUGUGCUUUCUGGUCAUUUUUAAAGCUUAAUCCAUCCUUUUGUGAUCUUCGCCAUGGGAAAGAUGAAACCAGAUGAUUGCCUGGGUGCAAGCAGGGAGCAGCAAAGACCCUUGAUCAUCUCAACAAUCUCAACAAAAUGAGAUCCAGUUGGAUCCACUAGCUGAUGAUGGAUAGAAUGGCAUUGUGUGCUCAACAUCUGUACAGAAAUAAAAUGAAUCAAGAAAUUCUUUUCUUCAGGAGAAAAAAAAAAAAAAAAAGUACAAGUGAUGUAGAAAAAUUACAGCAGUUUGUUUGACUUUGGCCAACUGGGAAUCACAAAGUGGCUUAUGGUAGCAGCAACUUUCCUGUGAAAAGCUUGGAGGUGUUACGUUACCAUCUCAAGACUCAUCUUGCUUCUGUAAGUAGCUCUCCUGCAAUACACUGACCAUCACUGCUUUUACAACAUGCUGCUUCUGGUCCUAAGCUUCUGUUAAUCUUUUCCAUCAGAGUUCUUAAAGCAUAGAUGAGGGUGUUGAGUCAGAGGCUGCUGCUUGCUGGCUGUCACCUGAAUAAGCUUCACAGAUAAUUCGUUUUAUUCAUAACUGAAAAUCUGAGAGAAGAUUCAAGUGAAUACUGAUAUCUUUUCAGUUUUCCUUAGUCUCAACAGGGUUUUCUCCUGUUGCUUCUUAAGUUCAGCAGAGCAAGGAAAGAAUGGAAAGCACACUGUGCAGCUGAAGUCACAAGACAUGUGGAAGGGAGGAGAGGAAAAUUGUAGGAAGUACACUUCAGAGACAUUGGUACAACACAAAAGAGAAAUAUAAAUCCAAAUGUUUAAAUCAUAUGUAACUGGUGAGCUACUCCUGCUCUGUUGUGUCCUGCUCCUUGUAGCAGUUAUAUUCUUUUUAUCCUUUGAAGCACUGACUGUCCUCCAGCUGACCGGUCUACUAUGGUAACUUCACUGAAGUCCUGACUACAACUACAACUCAAGUUUUACAAGAGUACUGUGGAAGUGGAAGCAAGAACCUAGUCUUCGUUUCGAUACUAGCAACAGGGCAACUGUUGGGUAGAAUCAAAUUGAUGCAAUACACUACAGGAAUAAAUUGCAUUUUUUUCUAGUUAUUUAAUUUAUU